rnacentral:rRNA from 1 species
AUGAACGCUGGCGGCGUGCCUAAUCCCUGCAAGUCGCGCGAACGGACGAGAAGCUUGCUUCUCUGAUGUUAGCGGCGGACGGGUGAGUAACACGUGGAUAACCUACCUAUAAGACUGGGAUAACUUCGGGAAACCGGAGCUAAUACCGGAUAAUAUUUUGAACCGCAUGGUUCAAAAGUGAAAGACGGUCUUGCUGUCACUUAUAGAUGGAUCCGCGCUGCAUUAGCUAGUUGGUAAGGUAACGGCUUACCAAGGCAACGAUGCAUAGCCGACCUGAGAGGGUGAUCGGCCACACUGGAACUAAGACACGGUCCAGACUCCUACGGGAGGCACCAGUAGGGAAUCUUCCGCAAUGGGCGAAAGCCUGACGGAGCAACGCCGCGUGAGUGAUGAAGGUCUUCGGAUCGUAAAACUCUGUUAUUAGGGAAGAACAUAUGUGUAAGUAACUGUGCACAUCUUGACGGUACCUAAUCAGAAAGCCACGGCUAACUACGUG